CUCCCCGCGAGUCUUCCCCUGGUGAAUGCAAGCGAGCCAGCUGCUGCCUGAACUCCGGUGCGCCGGGUUUUCAGAGCUGCCACAAGCGCGAGGAGGGAGGGGGGCACACAGCAGCCACAGAGCACUGGGUUCAUAACUAGGAUUGGUCGCAAGUAGGGAGCUUUUGCCACUCCGCUGGGACCCUGGGACGCUGGCGGCAUCGUGCGCUGGGUUCUCCUAAGAGCUGCUUUGGGUGCCUCGGAUUCAUUUGGCAUUGUAGAAUUUUCUAACUGAGGAAAUUCCGCUAGAGCUCACUUGGGAAUUUCUGCAGUUUGGUGUCAGAGAAUCAAAUUCUUCAGACUGAGCUAAAGGAAACACUCCAUGUGGGUUCUGAUUGAAAACAAAGGGGAUUAUUGACACAUAGUAUCUCCACAGCAUGUGGCUCUCAGAGCUGCCCUAAAAGUUUGUUUAUAUGGUGGAUUUUCAUAUAUUGAACCAACCCUGUAUCUCUGGGAUGAAG
rnacentral:lncRNA from 1 species